UACGAAGGACCCAAGCGUUAUCCGGAUUUAUUGGGUUUAAAGGGUGCGUAGGCGGGUUAUUAAGUCAGUGGUGAAAGCUCCUAGCUCAACUGGGAAAUUGCCAUUGAUACUGAUGAUCUUGAGUAUGAUUGAGGUUGGCGGAGUGUGUCAUGUAGCGGUGAAAUGCUUAGAUAUGACACAGAACACCGAUUGCGAAGGCAGCUAACUAAGCCAUAACUGACGCUGAUGCACGAAAGCGUGGGGAGCAAACAGG
rnacentral:rRNA from 1 species